UGUCAAGUAUUUUUAUUCAACAAAUAAAGUUUUAUUGACAUUCAUAGAAAAAAAACGAAUAAUAUUGGAAACUGAAAACGUUUCUAAACACUACGGAAUAUUAGUGUUUUCUUACCGUGUGUGUUUGUCUGGCCGAACAGUGAAUAGGUGCUUUUCGUUUUCAAUAAUACAAAUAAUAUCUCAUCAUAUUUGUGACUGUGAAAUCAAAAAGUUGUCUUUUUCUUGGUUCCGUUCGUGUGUUUUGUACAGUACUCGCCGAGAUUUCAGCAGUAGACAUAUCUUGUAUGUAUUAUACUUAAAGCAUAUUAAACCUUUGAAAAAUACAACACACGAUACCUGACCACCCAACCAUUUUGUGGAUGACUGGAUUAACUUCCACGGGAAAACCUACACAUCAAUACACAAUCAUCGGUCUAUAGAAGACCGAAAUACAGCUGGUGUCGUAUACAUUCCAAGGCUGAGUGGUCGAGGCUACCCACGUCCGUUGAUCAAGUUCUUUUUUCUAAGUUCCGACUGCGUACAAUACAGGUACUUUAUUCAUAAAAUUACAUUUUAAAAAUGUACAAGUGUGUGGUGUGUGGCAAUAACUCUAAGAACACCAAGGUCAAACGUUCUGAAGGUACUUAUCAUGGGCAUUCAAAGAAUCUCAGUCUUUUUGGCUUUCCUAAGGAUUUAACGCUGAGAAAAAAAUGGAUGGAAAAAUGCGGGAUAAAAAAGGAUCCCGCUGAAAUAA